GAAAGAAGUGGGUGGAAACUUGCGCUGCCGUCCAGGAAGAGAAGUGAGUGAGUAAGUCGGCUGCAAUAUUUAACAGUGCCUCCGGCCCCGCCGCCCGCAGACCCGCCUCGACGGGAGCCGAAGCUGUCGGGCAACCCCUUGAUACUGCUGCACGUGGUCCCUGGAAUAUACCGGAGCUGGCACUUUCAGCCUGGAAUUCCUCAGCUUUUGCAACAGGGUUUGGCUGCCUUGUUACGUGCAUCAGGAUGAUGGAGACACAGCUGGCUGGAGCUGGGGAAGCUGACUCGCACUGGCUGCUUGGCUCUGAGAACUGAAUUCCAUAGGCGUUAAAGCCUCCAAAAUGCCCUAUGGAUUCAGUUCUGCAGCUGGGCAGCAACUGAGCCUCAAACCUUCAGAAAGAAAAGGCAACUGUGAGCUCUUCCUACAAGGAAUAUGUAAAUCUUUGCUCCUGCACAGAGACCAGAUUAGGGGUGGAGGGGAGUUAUGGCCACCACAGAAAUAUCUGCUAUCAGAGAGCUACUAGAGGUUUGUGGCACAUCUUCCCCCAAGGGAAAAAAACCACACAACUAUAGAAUGUUUUUUUCCUUCUGGAAGUGAAAUGGCAUUUUAGAAAAUAAAUACAUUAGUACCCUGA